rnacentral:rRNA from 1 species
UACGGAGGGGGCUAGCGUUGUUCGGAAUUACUGGGCGUAAAGCGCACGUAGGCGGCUUUGUAAGUUAGAGGUGAAAGCCCGGGGCUCAACUCCGGAAUUGCCUUUAAGACUGCAUCGCUAGAAUUGUGGAGAGGUAAGUGGAAUUCCGAGUGUAGAGGUGAAAAUUCGUAGAUAUUCGGAAGAAACACCAGUGGCGAAGGCGACUUACUGGACACAUAUUGACGCUGAGG